CAGUGCACAGAGUGCAGGGCAAGUGGGGCCAGGCUGGCGGGGAGUGAGCCUGUCUGGCUACCUUGCCUCGGAGCCACUACACUGCUCGCUGCAGACACAGACUGCACCAUGAAGCCAGCCCUCCUGCCCUGGGCCCUGCUGCUGCUGGCGACAGCCCCCGACCUGGGCCUGGACCCGCAGCAGUGGCUGCAAGAGGAAGAGGACGUGAAUGGGACGUGGAAACAUCUUUCAAAAGCGAAGAUAAUUUCUCCGUUGAACAACCUUUGCCCUUUUUUCUUUCAGGUUAUCUGAGUUCACUGGGGUGGUGCUUGUGUAUAUGUCCUAGGUAUCUUUUGACAUCUUUCUCUUUAGAUCAGAGGAAAUGUGAAGCUAAAUAAAUCUGGGGGUUUUU